rnacentral:rRNA from 1 species
UGAGUAAUAUAUCGGAACGUGCCCAGUCGUGGGGGAUAACGUAGAGAAAUUUACGCUAAUACCGCAUACGAUCUAAGGAUGAAAGCGGGGGACUCGCAAGGGCCUCGCGCGAUUGGAGCGACUGAUAUCAGAUUAGGUUGUUGGUGAGGUAAAAGCUCACCAAGCCGACGAUCUGUAGCUGGUUUGAGAGAACGACCAGCCACACUGGGACUGAGACACGGCCCAGACUCCUACGGGAGGCAGCAGUGGGGAAUUUUGGACAAUGGGCGAAAGCCUGAUCCAGCAAUGCCGCGUGCAGGAAGAAGGCCUUCGGGUUGUAAACUGCUUUUGUACGGAACGAAAAGGCUCUUUCUAAUAAAGAGGGCCCAUGACGGUACCGUAAGAAUAAGCACCGGCUAACUACGUGCCAGCAGCCGCGGUAAUACGUAGGGUGCGAGCGUUAAUCGGAAUUACUGGGC